rnacentral:rRNA from 1 species
CCUACGGGAGGCAGCAGUGGGGAAUAUUGCACAAUGGGGGAAACCCUGAUGCAGCGACGCCGCGUGAGUGAAGAAGUAAUUCGUUAUGUAAAGCUCUAUCAGCAGGGAAGAAAAUGACGGUACCUGAGUAAGAAGCCCCAGCUAACUACGUGCCAGCAGCCGCGGUAAUACUUAGGGGGCAAGCGUUAUCCGGAUUUACUGGGUGUAAAGGGUGCGUAGGCGGAAGGUUAAGUCAGCGGUCAAAUGUCGGUGCUCAACACCGGCCUGCCGUUGAAACUGGUCUUCUUGAGUGAGCGAGAAGUAUGCGGAAUGCGUGGUGUAGCGGUGAAAUGCAUAGAUAUCACGCAGAACUCCGAUUGCGAAGGCAGCAUACCGGCGCUCAACUGACGCUGAGGCACGAAAGCGUGGGGAUCGAACAGGAUUAGAUACCCCUGUAGUC